GGAGGUAGUCUGAGGCGGUAUCUUUCCUGAGCUCAGCAGCCACUCCAGCAGAAAGGCAUUCAGAGAAAUCUGACUCUGUUGCACUCACCAGGGCCAAGCGAUGGGGAUGCUCCUUCAAGUGCUUGUUGGGCUAUUGAUGUUUCCGGCUGUCUGGGUCAACACCCAAAAGUUGCAGCAGAGUCCUCAGUCUCUGACAAUCCAAGAAGGAGAUGAACUCACCAUGAGCUGCAACUCAUCGUCGUCUUUAUAUGCCUUACACUGGUACAGGCAGGGGAGGGAUGGCGGUCCCAUCUUCUUGGUGACAUUACAGAAAGGAGGCGAUGAGAAACGCAAGGACAAAAUAACUGCUAAACUGGAUAAGAAAAUGCGGCAAAGUUUCUUGAGUAUCCAAGCCUCCCAGCCCAGCUACGCAGGCACUUACCUCUGUGCAGGGAGCGCACAGUGGUCUAUAGACUGCCGCGGGCUGUCUCCAAACCUGCAGCUGGGCCACAGCUGCUCUGACACAGGGCCCCUGAGGCAGGACUAGAGCACUUGCCAAAAUGAGAGACUCGAGGGUGCAGUUGUCUCCCUACAUAGCAGGUACAGCUGUCUCGUCCCAUCGGAGGAGUGGGCAUGAUGCAGUGGAAAGCUGUGUGUUUAGUUAGCAUUUAAAAGGACUUUUUUUUUUACCAGUAAUGUUGCUUUUCAGUGGGUAAAACCUCAAGCUGUUCAAAUUUUCAAAUACACAAAUGGCACGAAUUGCAGUAAUUUAAACAUAUGCGCAAAUCCCAUGCCUCAUUGUUCCGAGGAAGGCGCUUCCCUCCUGCUGUUUAACCUACCUUACUAACAGAAACUCUGAGCCGUUCCCUAUGCCUUUGGGAACAUGCUAAGACUAUUUCACGACUCUUGGCAAGGCAGUACUGUUAGAGAGAAGACUCAUUACAGGCAGAAGUUCUUUCAACAUUUACAUGGUGAAUACAGAAAUUACCCAACUGAUCGAAAGACAGAUGAAUAGCGACCUCACCGGCCUUAGCCUGCCCCGCUAGUCUCAUUCGCAUUCCAUUCUCUGGAUUUCCCCGAGCACAUGGAACUAGACGAUCUUCCUACUUUGCUUCAAUACGAAAAGGAGCAACAGCUUCCUUCAUCUACUCGCUCCACACCUCUUAGACUGCUGAGCCUGUUCCAAAGCACUGACCUAAGUCGAGCAAAGUCGGUAGGCUAGAGGGAAAGAGUUCUUGUACCUCUUGAAGAUGCUAAAAUGCUCAAGCAAGGAAGGAAGCAGGCCUGAUGGUUGCAGAGUAUGUGAGGGCCAACCAAGACCUAUGCAUUUCUAAGGUUUCAUUUUCCCCUUAUAAAACUGACACAAUCAUACUAUUUCGCUCAUGCGAAUUACAUGUUAAGCAACGGAUACAUUAUCUACACUUCACUUAAUAGUUAGAAUAAUAUUUUCUUUUUCUUUUGUUUUCCUUUUUUUUCCAGUAUAAAGCUUUGAGGAAGGGGACAAGGGACAGGACCCAUCCUUGGCAGCCACUUUCCUUAAGGUGCUGAUACCUGUUACCCCAUGGUAUAAAUGUGCAUCCCUUCUACUUGUCCUUGGAGACCUUGAGCAGCUCCAAGGCAUACAAAGUGCAUACAUCUAGAAUCACACAACGGAGCCUCUGCUUGCGGACUUUCUCCAUCACUUUGUGACCACUAUCAAGGCGCUGGGGCAGCACAAGGCAAUGGCUACUCUUCUUUGAUGGCAGCAGAGGCAGGAAGGACCUAAAAAUAAUAUUUACACCGUUAAUAAAAUGGCAGUCUCAAAU